ACCGCUGGAGAGAUUCAGCUUUCUCGUAAGAGACCUGCACACAGGUGCUGCAUGGCUGUCGUCAGCUCGUGUCGUGAGAUGUUCGGUUAAGUCCGGCAACGAGCGCAACCCACGUCCGUAGUUGCCAGCAUUCAGUUGGGCACUCUAUGGAAACUGCCGGUGAUAAGCCGGAGGAAGGUGUGGAUGACGUCAAGUCCUCAUGGCCCUUACGGGUUGGGCUACACACGUGCUACAAUGGUGGUGACAGUGGGUUAAUCCCCAUAAGCCAUCUCAGUUCGGAUUGUCCUCUGCAACUCGAGGGCAUGAAGUUGGAGUCGCUAGU
rnacentral:rRNA from 1 species